rnacentral:rRNA from 1 species
UACGAAGGGGGCUAGCGUUGCUCGGAAUCACUGGGCGUAAAGCGCACGUAGGCGGAUCUUUAAGUCAGGGGUGAAAUCCUGGAGCUCAACUCCAGAACUGCCUUUGAUACUGGGGAUCUCGAGUCCGGGAGAGGUGAGUGGAACUGCGAGUGUAGAGGUGAAAUUCGUAGAUAUUCGCAAAGAACACCAGUGGCGAAGGCGGCUCACUGGCCCGGAACUGACGCCUGAGGUGCGAAAGCGUGGGGAGCAAACAGGG